UACGGGGGGGAGCAGUGUUGUCGGAUUUACUGGGCGUAAAGGGCGCGUAGGCGGCCUCCGCAAGUCGACUGUGAAAUCUCCGGGCUUAACCCGGAACGGUCAGCCGAUACUGCGGGGCUAGAGUGCAGAAGGGGCAACUGGAAUUCUCGGUGUAGCGGUGAAAUGCGUAGAUAUCGAGAGGAACACCUGCGGCGAAGGCGGGUCUCUGGGCCGAUGACUGACGCUGAGGAGCGAAAGCGUGGGGAGCGAACAGG
rnacentral:rRNA from 1 species